rnacentral:rRNA from 1 species
GAUGAACGCUGGCGGCGUGCCUAAUACAUGCAAGUCGAGCGAACGGACGAGAAGCUUGCUUCUCUGAUGUUAGCGGCGGACGGGUGAGUAACACGUGGAUAACCUACCUAUAAGACUGGGAUAACUUCGGGAAACCGGAGCUAAUACCGGAUAAUAUUAUGAACCGCAUGGUUCAAAAGUGAAAGACGGUCUUGCUGUCACUUAUAGAUGGAUCCGCGCUGCAUUAGCUAGUUGGUAAGGUAACGGCUUACCAAGGCAACGAUGCAUAGCCGACCGGAGAGGGUGAUCGGCCACACUGGAACUGAGACACGGUCCAGACUCCUACGGGAGGCAGCAGUAGGGAAUCUUCCGCAAUGGGCGAAAGCCUGACGGAGCAACGCCGCGUGAGUGAUGAAGGUCUUCGGAUCGUAAAACUCUGUUAUUAGGGAAGAACAUAUGUGUAAGUAACUGUGCACAUCUUGACGGUACCUAAUCAGAAAGCCACGGCUAACUACGUG